AAUAGAUACCCGGGUAGUCCUAGCCGUAAACGAUGAGCACUUGAUUGAGGGCCCCCCCAUAGGCUCUCGAUCGCAGCGAAAGUGUUAAGUGCUCCGCCGUGGGGAGUACGGUCGCAAGACUGAAACUCAAAGGAAUUGGACGGGGGCCCGCACAAGCGGUGGAGCAUGUGGUUUAAUUCGAAGCAACGCGAAGAACCUUACCAGGUCUUGACAUCCCAUUGACCACUAUGGAGACAUAGUUUUCCCUUCGGGGACAACGGUGACAGGUGGUGCAUGGUUGUCGUCAGCUCGUGUCGUGAGAUGUUGGGUUAAGUCCCGCAACGAACGCAACCCUUGUUCUUAGUUGCCAUCAUUUAGUUGGGCACUCUAAGGAGACUGCCGGUGACAAACCGGAGGAAGGUGGGGAUGACGUCAAAUCAUCAUGCCCCUUAUGACCUGGGCUACACACGUGCUACAAUGGUUGGUACAAAGAGAAGCGAAGCGGUGACGUGGAGCAAACCUCAUAAAGCCAAUCUCAGUUCGGAUUGUAGGCUGCAACUCCG
rnacentral:rRNA from 1 species